rnacentral:rRNA from 1 species
UUCCAGACUCCUACGGGAGGCAGCAGUGGGGAAUAUUGCACAAUGGGGGAAACCCUGAUGCAGCGACGCCGCGUGAGUGAAGAAGUAUUUCGGUACGUAAAGCUCUAUCAGCAGGAAAGAAAAUGACGGUACCUGACUAAGAAGCCCCGGCUAACUACGUGCCAGCAGCCGCGGUAAUACGUAGGGGGCAAGCGUUAUCCGGAUUUACUGGGUGUAAAGGGAGCGUAGGUGGCAUGGCAAGCCAGAAGUGAAAACCCGGGGCUUAACCCCGCGGAUUGCUUUUGGAACUGUCAGGCUGGAGUGCAGGAGGGGCAGGCGGAAUUCCUGGUGUAGCGGUGAAAUGCGUAGAUAUCAGGAGGAACACCGGUGGCGAAGGCGGCCUGCUGGACUGUAACUGACACUGAGGCUCGAAAGCGUGGGGAGCAAACAGGAUUAGAUACCCCCGUAAC